CGUUCAAUUUAUGAGAAGUGAAGAAAGCCUCACAAACUAUCCUCUGUCUUGGGGCGUGUUCUGUUUUUAUUUCUUCAGGCAAUUCUUUCUUCAUUAUACUCUUGGUAUUUACACGAGAACUUUACUUGACAGGGCAUCAGGGUCUUUUUCUCUGCAGUUACCCAACCCUCUGCUCUUUGAUGCUGAUCAACAGUAACAGCAGAACUCCCAAACUGUGAGAUGCUCUUACUAGGAUUAAAACCUCUCCACUUAUAAAGUAGUCAUGGAUGUCACACCCAGACUUUUUGUUGCAUCUGAAGAUUCUAUGAGAAGACUCCCAUUUCAAGAAUUCAGAUCUCACACCCACACUAGGACUUUAAGUGGAUGAUAAAGAGCAUGACAAGAACAUGACUUUUAACACACCAGACUGAAAACUGUGUGUGGAGAAGAGGGACAACUGGAGAAAUCACAGAAAGAAUCAACAUGGAAAUUAUUCGUGACAUGUAUGGAAAUAACCUUUUGCCUAUUUGAUUUUUCCUUCAACUUCUAUUCAAGUGGAGUGAAUUUGUUAUCUAAUUUUGAUUUAUUUCUUGGUACCUUUAUUUAUAACUACUAUUUAAGAUAAGUGCUUAAAUUAAUUUACCCUCUUGCUCAUUUAUUUGAGAUUUGUUGCCUUAUUAUCACUUGACUUUCCUGAAAGGUAUGGACAGAAGCUACCCCCAAAAAGUGGAUGUCCCACAAAAUUUUGUUCCACGAAACUGAGUGUCCCACUGCCUCUAGUACAUAAGGACCAGUAUUUUAAAAUGAAUCUUUCUGCCUUAUAUCUGACUCAAGUGUUAUAGAGGGUGGGAAAGAUUCAAUCAUACUUAGUAUUUAUAAGAAAAUGAUUUUUUAAAUGGUUGUAUGAUUCUUGGAGUAUUCAUCCAGAAUAGUUUCAUCCACAUGAAAAAUUAAACAGGUCAGGAGAGUAAAGAGGAGGGGAGAGAAUUUGCAAAUAUUCAUUUGAAAUAAGCAGUAGUCUGAGUCUGAAACCAUCCCCUUCCAACAGGAAAGGGUGUUUUAAAGUACCUGCCCCAUCACAUUAAUAGGUGUGCAGAUGGGAGACUUCAACAGAGCUACUUGGAGAUUUCACUAAUUGCAUAUUUUAGUUGGGAGUGCAGAGAGUGAACCAGGGGCAGAAAAACCAGGAAAUUCUGGGGGAUGAGAAAAGUGCCAAUAGCUUCUACAGUGGUAGAUUCAAGAAGUCUUGGCUGCUGCAAUGUUUUUGAGACAAAUGAUGGAAGAGACUUUCCUGUGUGUUGGAGGAGGGUGGUGGUGAAGGGAGAGUUAGUGCAGGGUUGUCCUGAGUCUAAUCCAUUGGAACCACCAGAGGGACAAAGGGAAAAAGUAGCACGAUGCUGGGAGAGAAUGCUGGAUCUCCAGAAGCUGCAAAAGGUGAUGUAAGCUUCAUGGGAGAUGCACCAGUCCAGGCUGGGGACCCACAGGCCCAUUGUCCCAGUAAGAAGGCUUAUAAGAACCCACCACUUUUCCCAUGAGAGAAGAGUCAGCUCUUCAAACACCUCCCAGGCUCAGAUUGGAAGAGUAAGAACUUUUUUGUGACUCUUUUCCUUCCCCUUUGCAUGGCCCAAACAGGAAGACCCUAUGGCCCUACUGUCAUGCUGGCAGAGAAAGGGUGGGGAGAGAGAGAAGCUGCCCACAGCCCAUCCCUCAAGCACAAGGGGUUACCUGGAAGGAGUGAUAGCUGGUGGAGGACAAGACUGAAUGC